CACACACAGGACACACAGGUGGGACUCGAACCCCCAACCCUGGAGGUGUGAGACGAACGUGCUAAUAACAUGAAAUAAGUUAAUUCCUGUUCUCACUUACAUUAUAGCAGCUACAAUCUCUCAUUCCCUCACCAGCCCUCUCUUUUCUCUCUCCGUAAUAAGAUCAGAGAUCAGCUGAGUAAAAUUCAGCUUCUCAUGUUACCAAGAAACCGUAAAGCGUAAUCUCCUCUGUCCUGAAGACGUCGAAGGUUUCAGCUUUAUCUCUGAUUGUUACGAAACACUGACACUGUAGACUUAAAUGUUACCUGAAUGUCUCCUUACAUCUCCUAACUUCACCAUGCUCCACAUUACACACAUUUCAAUCUGUUUAUGUAGAGCGUACACCGUACAAGUCCUGGUGAGUGAGCUGUUACUAUAAAAAUGAUAGCUCACAGUACUAGACUGAGAAUUAUUCCGGAGCCUCUGCCGUUCUGUAAUCUGGGAACCUGUGCUAACAUUAAAGGUCUGAGUUGGUAACGUUAACCACCUUCCUCAACUGACUUGGGGUAAAAAUGAUUUAUCCCUGAAAGAAAAAAGUCUCUAAGUUCUUAUAAAGGAGCCGCUGUAUCCGAGAGACACUUUUAGGCAAACACCAGAGACGGAGAACAGCUUUGAGAAGUGCUGAUGGUUUAUUUGUUAAGCAACCUGUCACAUCCAGAGCCUCAUGAAAUUCCUUGUGGAGCACAGACUUCCGCUCCAAGCCCUUCUGCUCACUAUCACCGUCCUACUAUCCAGCUGUAGCAUACUAAAGAGUCUCAUUUGAGCACUAUAUAGACAAGCCACAAACACUCACAUUGCGAAGUCUUGCCGUUCAUUGUCCUUGUUCAUUACUGAGCCAUGUACUCUAUCUGCUUCCUAUUUUGAUAUCUGCUUUGUAUUGUUUAUGUCUGGCUUUUCGUCUGCUACACAUAUACCUGUCUGACCUGUGUCUGUUGACUAUAAUUCUGCCAGAUGAUCUGGAUUUGUUUAAAUAAAGCUCGUAUCAGCUUUCCGAGUUACACGAUCUGGCCUUCCAGUUUAAGAGGUCUCUGACUGUGCCAGAGCCAUGAAAUAUCCAAUCUAGCGUGUUGUUUAGGAAUUAUUAUUUAGUAAGAAAUACUGCAUUGACCAGCUACAUUUUUGCUGCUAACAUUGUACUUAUAAAAAUAUUGUACUGCUGUACUUUCUACCUGUCUGCUACCUCCAUAAGUGCUAUGUCCAUCUAUGUUAAACAGACAGAUAUAUGGUGUAUAUAAAACACGUGUCUGUUUGAUAUAGGUGCGUGUAUACUGACUCCUCAAUGCAGCAAAAUAUGGACAAAAUACUUUUUUCUCUCUGAGUCUUAAUGGGUGUACUCUUUGGAAAUGUCAAAUAUAGAAAUCAAUUACAAUGUUUAUUUUUUUCUUGGAAUAAAGACUGGGGUUUUACAUUAAAUUAAUCUAGACUAAGCUAACACUGAGCAGAUUGGUCAAAUAUAAGACCUACUAAUUAACAGAAAAUAAAUGCUGUCAAUGCAGUAGAACUGAGAAGAAAAGAAAGGUCAAAUAUAAUUAUUCUUUUCGGAUGAGAAUAAUACAUCAAGCCAGCACUCCUGCGUAGCAUUAAAUAAACCAACAUGUCUGUCUGUAAUAGCAGGAUGGCACUUUUUUUUCCUGCCCUUGCUUUGCUCAUUUGAAACAGGAAGUCGUGACUGGACUCUGACAUGUAGCAGAUGGCAGCUGAAGAUUUCAUGGGUCGAGAGAAAUAAAUGUAGCGUCUCCGCUGGUUUAGGAUAAACAGCUCAGUCUCUACUGGUGCUCUGCUCACUGUCAGCUGGAGUGUGUGUUCAGGGGUCACUCCGAGGCCGAGUGUGUAUUCGAGGGUCGCUCCGAGGCGGAGUGUGUGUUCGAGGGUCAUUCCAAGGCCGAGUGUGUGUUCUGUGGUCGCUCUGAGGCCGAGUGUGUGUUCAGGGGUCACUCCGAAACUGAGUGUGUGUUCAGGGGUCGCUCCAAGGUGGAGUGUGUGUCCAGGGGUCGCUCCGAGGCCGAGUGUGUGUUCAGGGGUCGCUCCGAGGCCGAGUGUGUGUUCAGGGGUCGCUCCAAUGCGGAGUGUGUGUCCAGGGGUCGCUCCGAGGCCGAGUGUGUGUUCAAAGUUUACUGCCAGCAAAAUUGCGGGUCCAUAGAGCAGUAAAGUCUUAAGAAAUUGUUUGAAAGCCUGGAUUUUGCUGAAAACUCUAUACCAGUUAUACCCUGUGUGAUUUCAGUCAUAUUUGAAGAUUAUUUAUUGUCACACUGUAUAAGUAACACACACACUCUGCACAGUCAGUGUGAGGUCAUCAGGAGCAGCAAGUUUCAUUUUCUUUUUUGUCAUUGGAAGUGGAUUUUAUUUAUGUGGUGAACACAGACAAGCAGAGUGAUACACACAGUCAAACACAUCCCGGUGGGACUUUAGACCAUAUACGCACUCUUAUAAACGCUGCUCAACCAAUCAAAUUAGAGGACCAGAACUAACCGUGGUUAUACAGUGGAUGGUGAGUGUGUCACAUUAUUUAAUCUGAGACC
ensembl:lncRNA